GACAGAGGGUGCAAACGUUGUUCGGAAUUACUGGGCGUAAAGCGCGUGUAGGCGGCUAAGUAAGUCGGGCGUGAAAUCCCACGGCUCAACCGUGGAAGUGCACUCGAAACUGCAUAGCUAGAGUCCUGGAGAGGAAGGUGGAAUGCUUGGUGUAGAGGUGAAAUUCGUAGAUAUCAAGCGGAACACCGGUGGCGAAGGCGGCCUUACUGGACAGUGACUGACGCUGAGACGCGAAAGCUAGGGGAGCAAACGGG
rnacentral:rRNA from 1 species